rnacentral:tRNA from 1 species
GCCGAGGUAGCUCAGUCGGUAGAGCAGAGGACUGAAAAUCCUUGUGUCGAUGGUUCGAUUCCGUCCCUCGGCACCA